AUUGUUGAAAUGCCUGGGACAUGUUCUGUACAGCCAGCCCCUGCUCCUGCUGCACCAUCACCAGCUCGUCCAUGCUCAGAUGAUUCUGCUGUUGGGUCUCCAGCACUUGAGAGAGAGCUUCCAAGUUGCAGAUGACACAGCAUUGUCAAAUCCAGAGGCCCCUGCGGACCCAGCAACACCAGCAGAAGAGGGUUGGAUGGCUCCAACAUCACUGCUGCUGUAAAGCUGUGGUCCUUCUAGAGGCCCUGACACUUCUGGAAAAAAAAGGUCCUGUCAUUACUGCAGGGUAUGGCAAUCCUGCAAAUGCUGUGUGAGACAACAUCCACAGCAUGCCCAACUCCACAGCAGUGUAUGUUGUUUCAUCUGGAGGUCCCCAACCUGCAUGGAUAUGAAUGUUGCAAUUAUCAGCCACUUGGAAGUUCACAUGUAAAGCCAAAUCAACUUGGUGUAAAUCAUGAAUGUAUUAGAGCACAUUGAUGUUAUUUAGCACUGCAGUGGUCACUGUCUUGGACCUGACUGCCAGAGUUACUGUACAUACUCCAGUUUAUAAUCCGUUGCUUAGUUGGUUCUUGGUUAUGUUUAUUGACUAUAUGGGUAAAAUUUAUAACAGCACCAUAAUGAAAUACAACAUGUACACAAGAGCAAACUUCUUUUUUAUAUAACUGCAGGGGUUUUAAACACUGCUAACAAUCACCUAACCUAAUUAAACUAAC